UGCACCGGUUUCCGUACGGUCACUGAAGUUAAUCAACGUCGAGUCGGUCAGUACCUAGAUGAGUGACCGCUUGGGAAUACUAGGUGUUGUAAG